GAUGAACGCUGGCGGCGUGCUUAACACAUGCAAGUCGAGCGAUGAAGUUUCCUUCGGGAAACGGAUUAGCGGCGGACGGGUGAGUAACACGUGGGUAACCUGCCUCAUAGAGUGGGAUAACACUUGGAAACAGGUGCUAAUACCGCAUAACAGUUUAUGCCGCAUGGCAUAAGAGUGAAAGGCGCUUUCGGGUGUCGCUGAUGGAUGGACCCGCGGUGCAUUAGCUAGUUGGUGAGGUAACGGCUCACCAAGGCCACGAUGCAUAGCCGACCUGAGAGGGUGAUCGGCCACACUGGGACUGAGACACGGCCCAG
rnacentral:rRNA from 1 species